AGUAAAUGUUGGAAACGCGAUAAGCACAUGGGAAAAGGCAGUUGCCAAGGCAGUUGUUCUUUUGCUCAAUGAAAAAUGUUCUAUUAGUUUUCAACUGUGCUGCAAUUGGUCUCCACGAUCUGAAAACUCUCCCUGCCCUGAAGUGGGGAGAAGGACGAUUCCUGUGUACCUAUUUGCAUGAAGAUGGAUGACAAAGAUAUCAGGCAAAGGUUCUUCAGAACCCAGACUCAUGGUAUUAGUCAAAUUAAGCACAACACUAACCGACUAAAGACCUAAAUACCUUCUGAAUCAAGAUGAACUAUGCCUGUCAUCGCAUUGUUUUAUCUUUAGGGAUUUGGAAAUAAGGAAGGACAAGAUGGGAAAAUUUGUGAUGCUUACUGGAAGAUAAUGACAUUUGAGAUUAAAAAAAACCUAAGUGGAUGGAUUGCUCUACUGCCUCAACACUUGGAAGGUGCUAAGUGGCGACGGCUGGACCCAGAAUGGAGAGCACACACUGACACAGUGGUCACCCUGCGAGGCGGGGUGCCCACCCAAUACAGUUGGCAAGAGGCAUGAAACGAGCCAAGAUCCAUGGCUCCCCAUCAUUGCAGACGACCGUGCGCCCUCUCUACUUUAUCAUCUCACAAAUUCUUGCCAGAAGUGCACAGUACGAUGUCUGUCUCUACUCUCCGGUGUGUGUGUGUGUGUGUACAGCAAAACACACCAUCAGGAACGUGGUCAAAAUUCGUAUCGACACCGCAAUGC